rnacentral:rRNA from 1 species
UACGUAGGGUCCGAGCGUUGUCCGGAAUUAUUGGGCGUAAAGGGCUCGUAGGUGGUUUGUCGCGUUGUUCGUGAAAACCGGGGGCUUAACCCUCGGCGUGCGGGCGAUACGGGCAGACUUGAGUACUGCAGGGGAGACUGGAAUUCCUGGUGUAGCGGUGGAAUGCGCAGAUAUCAAGAGGAACACCUGAGGUGAAGACGGGUUGCUGGGCCAACACUGACGCUGAGGCGCGAAAGCCAGGGGAGCAAACGGG